AGGAGGGGAAGAGGAUACACUCUGUGCGUGUGUGCGUGUGUGUGCGCGCUUAAGGAGAAGCGACAACAGUAGUACCGAGACAGAAUGAAUCCGCUGAAUUAAGCGCAGGUGGACCGUGAAAACAUGGAUCGGUGGAAGAUGCACAACGCUCCUCUCCUCGUGUGUGUGGCUUUCUCAGCUAUGUGCUACACUGCUAAUAUGUCCCCUUACCAUAAGGAGUCCAUGCCAAGACACACAUUACCGGUCAUUCCGUCUGAAGCUUCAAGUUUCUUCCUAAAACCAUCCCGCGGAGCUUCUGGCUGCUGCUGCUCUCCUCCUCCCGAGGACCGGGUUUUGCGCCACAUCAGGUUUUGAACUCUAUCAGCCCUGCUCACCGGUGGUUUAAAUAUCGUCAUAGGAAAACCUCUCUUCACCAUGUCCCCCGUAGCCUCCUUUGCCGAGUUGUACAGACACAUCUCCUCCUCAUAAAACACCCUCAUUUUGGCUGGAAAAGGAGUUUGAAACUGAACAUCAUUCUCCCUCAAUACCUUCUUCGCCUCCGCGUAUUCCCGGCGCUUCCUGAGGGUCGUAAUCAUGGUCCACGAAGACCUUUUUCCCCCAAUAGAGAAACCCUUUUUUUCGCUAUACCUGUUUCAGGAUUUCUUCUUUAGUUAUGCUGCUGGAGAACCUGACAACUAUGGAUCUCAGGGAAGCAUCAGCCGGUGGUUUUGGUCCCAGUGCGCGAUGCGCACGCUCGAUCCUUAGGUCGUCUGUGUGAGGCAACUGCAGUUUUUCCCUCAGUAGCUUGUCCACGAAUGUUACCAUCAAUGUGGAGUCGCUCUCCGACCCUUCUUUUAUGCUGUGAAUUCUUAUAUUCUCCCGUCUUGCUCUUCCCUCUUGAUCAGUUAGCUUAUUUUCCAUCUUAGCCUGUAGCUUUAGCAGUUCCCUAGUAGCCUCCUCCAGCCCCUGCACUCUUUCCUCAGUUUCUGAAAUUCGCAUUUUGGCUUCGUCAACUCUGCUAUUAGUUGCUUUAAUGUCUUCACGUAUUUCUCGGAGAGUCUCUGCAUCUUUACGCUGAAACUCUCUCAGUUUUUGUAAUAUAAUUUGCAGGUUGGCCAUGUCCACAUCCACCUGUAGCUCAUUCGUGCUAAGGUGGCUAUCGUGCUCGGGGGACUCCACCUCGGCUGUGUGAGCCCUUUCCUUCGUCUGUGAAGCGUUUUUUUGUUUUGGUUUGGGCAUAUUAAAAAUGCCUAUUUAACUUCUUCUGUUAAUGUAUAACAAUCACUUGCAAAAAUAUGACUGUUUGUUUCAUUUGCCCUCCCCCCCCCAAUGAGGAGUUGUACAGUUUGAUGGCCCGGGGGACAAACAAGUCCCCCAGUCUGUUGGUCCUGUGCAUUGGGAGGAGCAGCCUGUUGCUGAGGCUUCUGUGGCUCCUCUGGCAGCUGAUGACAGUGUGCAGAGGGUGGCUGGCAUUGUCCAGGAUGCUCAGCAGUUUGUCAAGUGUUUUUCUCUCUGCCACUGUCACCAGAGGGUCCAGCCUCAAUCUGACCACUGAGCCGGCCCAAGUUUUUCCAGUCUGUGGAAGUCUGCCUUAGUUGCGCUCCCGCCCCAGCACACCACAGUGGAGGAGAGAACACUGGUGACCACAGACUGGUAGAACAUCCACAGGAGCUUCUUGUGUAUGUUAAAAGACUGUAGCCUCCUCAGAAAGUACAACCGUCUCUCAGCCUUCUUGUACAGUUGCCUUGUGUUGCUUGUCCAGUCCAGCUUGUUGUCCAGCCACAGCCCAAGAUAUUUGUAGGUCUGCACAACCUCCACCUCCUCUGCUCCUAUUAGAACUGGUCUCGGACUGGAUGUGACACGUUUCAGAGUUGUAGCAGAAGUCCGCAGUGUACAGAGUGAACAGUGAGCACAGUCCCCUGAGAAGCUCCGAUGCUGCUGACCACAGUGUCAGACGUGAUGUCCUUCUGAUAUACUGUGGUCUGUCUGUGAGGUAGCUGGAAAUCCAAGCAACCAGGCAGGGGUCCACUCGCAUUCUGGUGAGUUUUUCCUUGAGUCCAAGGGGCUAGAUGGCACUCGAAAAGUCCAAAAAGGGGAUCCUGACUGUGCCACUUCCCUUGUCCAGAUGCGAGUGGGCUCGAUGUAGGUGUGAUGAGCUCCACACAAUACCAAAGGAGAGUUUAGAUCUUCCCUGGAGACAGUUCAACACUGGGCACAGGAAGUGACUAUUUGAGUCGAGGUAAAAGCACAACAGCUACAUAAUUAUACUAAAGAGAGAUUGAACUAUGGCUGAGAGGUGCGCACAAUAAGUUUCAGAUAAAACAGGAUAAAUGCUUAUUGCAACAUGCACACAGGGACAUAUUUUCAGCAGGGAGGCUGCCCUACAUACCUGCCUGCACUUACUAAUGUUUAUGUACGCACAUGUUAAAGUCAAUGAUAGAUGUUAUGCCGGCCCAAGAAUUACUUAUUGAAUAAGUAAUUAUUACUUACUUUAUUAAAUUACUUUCUCAAAGUAAUAUAACUAAUUACAUUUGAUUACUUUUCUUAAUUUAAAAGUGGAUUAAAACCAUCAACCAUUAUUUUUGAAUGAACCACAUAUUUGUUCUUUACACAAAUAACAAAACAUGAUGAAAUAUGACUAAUGGUUAGGCUACAUCUUACUUCAUUGUACACUGUUCUUGCAUCAGAAAUGAUAUGAAACUAAAGCUGACAUCAUUUAACCUGCUAGGCAUGAAAACACACAGAAGGUUGGCACUUCUUCCCCAUUGUAUUGUAUGUGGUUGCUUGCAGUUACAGCUGUAGGCUAGUCGACAGGACCUUUGCAUUGUACUAAAACGUUUGGGCCCUUAUCUUCUUGCUGUAUGAAGAUUUCCAACCCAGGAACGUCUUGUGCGCCUCUGACAUUGUUGCUGCUGACUGCCGUACCAUUAACAAGUCGAUUGAGUCUAGCAGCAGAAUGGCACAUGACCAGAGAGAGCCAAUCACAAGUGUCGGCUUUAGAAGGAGGAUGUUGACAUGAAAAACACUAUUUGAUAACACAACUAAACUUAUAAUCAUGGAAAUUUCUAAAAGCAACUGUAAUUUAAUUACAUAUUUUCUCCCAGUAAUGUAACGGAUUACAUAUAUACGUAUAU